rnacentral:rRNA from 2 species
AUGCGACCCCAGGUCAGGC